AGCUCGGACAGGUGAGAAGCAAAGGCCUUCUCUUACGGGAGCUAAGGCCCAGAGGUGGGAUCCCAGAGGGACAGGACUGAAAGGAGAGGGGAGGGCAGGCCCAGGAGACCCAGAUUCUACUGGGGACUCGAGCACAGAGGGAUCCACUGGAUGAACACCAGGUCAGUGUGCACUUACUGUCCAGUAUUCAAGGCCUAUACAUAGCGAAUUUUAGAAAUGUUAGUAGUUGGGGCUGGGCAUGGUGGUUUACGCCUGUAAUCCCAGCACUUUGGCAGGCCGAUCACCUGAGGUCAGGAGUUCAAGACCAGCUUGGCCAACAUGGCGAAAACCCCACUCUACUAAAAAUACAAAAAUUAGCUGGGUGUGGUGGCAGGUGCCUGUAGUCCCAGCUACUCGGGAGGCUGAGGCAGGAGAAUCACUUGAACCUGGGAGGCAGUGGUUGCAGUGAGCCGAGAUCAUAUCACUGCACUCCAGCCUGGGUGACAGAGUGAGAUUCUGUCUCAGAAAAAAAAAAAAAAAAGGAAAUGUAGGCUGGGCGUGGUGGCUCACGCCUGUAAUCCCAGCAUUUUGAGAGGCUGAGAUGGGAGGAUCACCUGAGGUCAGGGGUUCGAGACCAGCCUGAGCAACAUGGUGAAACCACUUCUCUGGUAAAAAUAUAAAAAUUAGCCGGAUGUAGUGGCACCCCACCCCGUAAUCCCAGCUACUGCAGAGGCUGAGGCAUGAGAAUCACUUGAACCCAGGAGGCAGAGGCUGCAGUGAGCCAAGACUGCAUCACUGCACUCCAGCCUGGGCAACAGAGUGAGACUCUGUCUCAGAACAAAACAAGUAGAUGUUAGUACUUGGUUCAUUUAAGAAACAAUGGAGGAAAAAAAAAAAAGAGAGACAGACUCUCACGUUUAAAGAGAAAAAAACCAAAAGCCAAACCCUAAGCAAAAAGACCCAGGGAGAGUUAAACCACAGAAAGUGUAGAAAGAAGCUGUGCUGAGGGAUUUAAUAAAAUUUCCGAAUCAUAAAAGUACACUGGGUGGGGUCUGGGAAGUGAAAGAUACAGUCAUCAGUAUCAUCCUUUUCUCCCCCGAAGAAGCCAACAAAGAGCCACUCAGAACUGAGGAACGCUGGCUGAUGGGGGAAAAGGUAGCGGAGCAGCCCCGGCGCCUGUGCUGAAAUCUGGCUUCUCUCCACUCAGAUGAAUGAGCUGGGAGGCGCAGCUUCAGGAGCGAUUUGCAAGAGAUGCACUCGGAGCUCAAGAUGGACAGCAGCCUGGCCAACAGCUUCUCAUCCUCUCUGGGCAACAGCCUCGUGGGGUGGGGUGCAGGGUUGGUGGUUGGCUGGUGGCCUCACGUUUCCCCAGUUGGUUCAUGCUUGGGAUGUGCCACCUGUGAGCCCGGUUGGGUCUCUUGUAGGUUCCCACGGAGAUCAGCCUCUUCUGGUAGGUAUUGGAUGCUGCCUUUCCUCACUGACCGGGCGACGACUCCACUUACCCCUCCAGAGGCCUUAGUUGUCAACCCGACAGAAUUACUCAGGGGAAGUCAGAGCUCAUAAUUAUUUGACUAAUCCUCAUGUGGCAACACAUCGGAGGUUGUUUUUUUAGCACGAGGCAGGGCCCGAGUGAGAGUGUUUCCCACUGCAGGCUUGCCUGUCUGGGUCUGCAGGCUAGGAACAGGGCGCCUCCUUCCUGGGAGCAGGGAGAUGUGGAAAUGUGGGUGGGAAGCUGCAGGGCUGGGUCUCCGAGACCCUGGAAACCUGCAUCUCUCCAUACAUCAGCUUCCUAGGGCUGCUAUUCAAUGACUUGAUGGUUUAAAACGAGGAAUAUAUUCUCUCACAGUUCUGGAGGCCAGAUGUCCGCGAUCAGGUGCCAGCAUGGUCUUACCCUCUGUAAAGGGCUCUAGAAGUAAUUCCUCCUGGCUCUUCCAGCUUCUAGUGGCUCCAGGUGCUCCUUGGUUUGCGGCUGCUUCACUCCAGUCUCUACCUCCAUCUUCACGUGGACUUCUCCUCUGUGCCUCUCAUAAGGACACUCAUCAUUGGAUUUAGGAGCUAUCGGGAUAGUCCAGGAUGAUCUCAUCUAGAGAUCCAUAACUUAAUCACAUCCACAAAGAUCCUUUGUCCAUAUAAGGUCACAGCCACAGGUUAUCAGUAAACAAAUCUUUCUUUCUGGGGGUGCCAUUCAACCCACUACACCCUGGAAGGUGCCCUGCCCAAGCCAAUUAAUG
rnacentral:lncRNA from 1 species